AGGAAGUGUUUUUUUUUUUUUUUUUUUUUUUACACGAGGAGGGCUUUUCUGUGACGAGCUCCGGGUGGGCUGGACAUUGUCACCGUGCGUGUUUGUUGAACCUUUUAGACUGUCCUCAACGAUGUUAACACUUCCCAAAACGGAAUGAAAAUAGUAGACGUUGUGUUGACUUGUUGGGUUAUCUCGUCGUAACGUGAAGCUGAAGUUAAUAUGUGACAAUUAGACGUGAUAGCAAGAUAUUGUUGCCCCCCCCCCCCCCCCCCCGGCCCCCUUCUCCCGAUUUGUCACAAAUACAACAACUUCCCGCUUUGGACACAAGGGGGCAGUAUACGACAGAAAGUCUCACACUCAUACGCACACCAUACUUGGAAAUGUGUACUGUGAAUACGGCUCGGCUCAUCGCAGAGGAUAAAGAAUAGAUGACCGAGUAUUUAUAUCGCAUGCGUUGCAGUCUUAUCUGCGUUUCGUUUUCCCAUUACGUUUUUAAGAACAAAACUAUGUGAUUGAUUUAAACGCACAAUGUGUAAUUCUUGUUAUGGUAUAUGUUUACGUGGACGGUAAUUUUCAGUGUGUGUGUGUGUGUGUGCGUACACACUCAUGUACAUAUUCACACACACAUUUAUGCACUUUGUUUGGACAGGUUUGCCUUUUUCAGAGGCUACAUUUAUGCAGACGUGAGGCGGCGGCGUUCGUCACGACUUUGUUUGGACUGAUUGUCAGAAUGAGUCUUCAUGCUUGGUGGAUAUGCCCCAUAAACUUUAUGUAAAUAGCCGAAAUCAACCUGCACGUUUUCAACACCGCAAUGUUAACCAUGUCAUGUGUGAUAUUUCAAUCUUAUUUGUAACCAUAACAGAAGAGCAUGUGGAAUUUCAUUCCACAUACCGUAGUUAUAUAUUACAUUUUCAUAUCAACAUGACUGUCUUGUGUGGUCUUCAGUAUUCAUGGUCAAUGGAGAAGCACAAAUAUAAUUAUGCUCAAAAUAUUACAAAGCAAUAUCUAAAAAUACAAAGGUAUUACAACAACAACAAAAUGGGGGCCGGGGGGACUAAUUUGAAAAAGUACUGGAAUAUUGCAGCAAAAAUAACCAUACGCUGGACUAAAACGGAUAAAUAAUAACAUUGAUCUAAAAAUAUUUAUUUCAUAAGAUAUAAAAGAAAAAAAUUAAAAAAAAUAUCAGAAAAAUAUAGGCAAUAAUACAAUUUGUAAGAAAAAAAAUCAAUUUAAAAAACAGUCAGAAAUAAGCCAUGUCUCGUCACAAUGCGUUGAAGCAGUGGGGUUGUCCUUAACUGUACUACUCGGUAGCAACCAGCAGAGGGAGCAAUCAAGUCAGUUCCCAAACUACUGUCGUCGGGUGACAGAAAUUUUGGAGCGUGACCAUUUUGAACUGAAAAAAACAUCUCCUAAGAAUAGAUUUUGCUGUAAUAUAAUUUGAAUGUUUCAAAAGAGCAAUGUAUUCGAUUUUCUGUAUUUUGUUGUUGUUGAAAUAAAAACUAGCAUGACAUAAUAUACUAUCACGUCGCAUAAUAUAGUGUAAAAAUAAGACAGCCCGCAGUUGCGCCCUAAAUCACCAAUUUAUUCACGCGAUAUGAAUACAAUCACACACUUACUCUCUCUCACCUCACACACACACACACACACACGCACGCAUACACCAUAUUGAAAGUCUGUUGCAUGAGUCUUUUAUCUGUUGUCUUGCAUUAUGAACCCUUAAAAGCAUGCAUAUGCAGGGAUACUCCUAUCCAAAUAAACGAAAUGCAUCAUAUAUAGUCAUCAUCAUCAAUGUCACCGUCAGACAUCAAACAUACAAAUGUCAUUCAAAUACAACCGACAAGAAAAUGUAGGAAAUGAAUAGAAUCACUAAGUACUAACAACCAAAAAAAAAAAAAAAAAAAAAACAGAAAUCCAAAAUACAGAAAAAGUGAUACAUGGUGUGCAUGAUAAGCGCCUGAAAUCUGAUGGUCAUUUUUAUUCCUUUGCAAUAAAAAUAGUCUA